rnacentral:rRNA from 1 species
CAGCCGCCGCGGUAAAACGGAGGGUGCAAGCGUUAAUCGGAAUUACUGGGCGUAAAGCGCACGCAGGCGGUCUGUCAAGUCAGAUGUGAAAUCCCCGGGCUUAACCUGGGAACUGCAUUUGAAACUGGCAGGCUAGAGUCUUGUAGAGGGGGGUAGAAUUCCAGGUGUAGCGGUGAAAUGCGUAGAUAUAGGAAGGAACACCAGUGGCGAAGGCGACCACCUGGACUGAUACUGACACUGAGGUGCGAAAGCGUGGGGAGCAAACAGGAUUAGAUACCCCAGUAGUCCCUGUCUCUUAUAC